CAAAUAAAUAACUGUUUUCACUGUAACUCUUGGCUUAUAUUUUCUCUUUGGGGGCAGUCAUCUUUAAGUGUUCUCUGCUCAGAAGAAUAGCUAAUCUGACUACAAACCAUGCAGGCAGAGAGGUAAUGUGUGUUCAUGAUCCUAAUGUUGGGCAUAUGCUCGGGAAAUCUAAAAAAUGCACACUGGGAUGGUUUCAAACCUUUACACUGUCCAUUGACAGUUCAUGACUUGGACUGCCACCUCCAUAGAACAAAUAUAAGACAGAAGAUUCAAUGAAAUGAGAUAAAAAAGAGAACACACGUACAUAUUUCUUUCCAUUAAGAAAUAAUGCACAGUGAUGCUAUAUUACGUGUAAUUUUUUUUAUUUUCAGUGAUAAUAAAACAUUAUUACAGCUCUCCUUUUUCAAAA